UACAGAGGUGGCAAGCGUUGUUCGGAAUUACUGGGCGUAAAGGGCGCGUAGGCGGUCUUAUAAGUCUCGUGUGAAAUCCCUCGGCUUAACUGAGGAACUGCACGGGAUACUGCAAGACUUGAGUUCGGGAGAGGGAAGCGGAAUUCCGGGUGUAGCGGUGAAAUGCGUAGAUAUCCGGAGGAACACCGGUGGCGAAGGCGGCUCACUGGCCCGAUACUGACGCUGAGGCACGAAAGCGUGGGGAGCAAACAGG
rnacentral:rRNA from 1 species